rnacentral:rRNA from 1 species
AGAGUUUGAUCCUGGCUCAGGAUGAACGCUGGCGGCGUGCUUAACACAUGCAAGUCGAACGAGGAAUUUUAAAUGAGACUUCGGUGGAUUUUAAAAUUCUUAGUGGCGGACGGGUGAGUAACGCGUGGGCAACCUGCCCUGUACAGGGGGACAACAGCUGGAAACGGCUGCUAAUACCGCAUAAGCGCACAGCAUCGCAUGAUGCCGUAUGAAAAACUCCGGUGGUACAGGAUGGGCCCGCGUUGGAUUAGGUAGUUGGUGGGGUAACGGCCUACCAAGCCGACGAUCCAUAGCCGACCUGAGAGGGUGACCGGCCACAUUGGGACUGAGACACGGCCCAAACUCCUACGGGAGGCAGCAGUGGGGAAUAUUGCACAAUGGGGGAAACCCUGAUGCAGCGACGCCGCGUGAGCGAAGAAGUAUUUCGGUAUGUAAAGCUCUAUCAGCAGGGAAGAAAAUGACGGUACCUGACUAAGAAGCCCCGGCUAACUACGUGCCAGCAGCCGCGGUAAUACGUAGGGGGCAAGCGUUAUCCGGAUUUACUGGGUGUAAAGGGAGCGUAGACGGCUUUGCAAGUCUGAUGUGAAAGGCGGGGGCUCAACCCCUGGACUGCAUUGGAAACUGUGAGGCUUGAGUGCCGGAGAGGUAAGCGGAAUUCCUAGUGUAGCGGUGAAAUGCGUAGAUAUUAGGAGGAACACCAGUGGCGAAGGCGGCUUACUGGACGGUAACUGACGUUGAGGCUCGAAAGCGUGGGGAGCAAACAGGAUUAGAUACCCUGGUAGUCCACGCGGUAAACGAUGAAUACUAGGUGUUGGGUGUCACAGACAUUCGGUGCCGCAGCAAACGCAAUAAGUAUUCCACCUGGGGAGUACGUU